rnacentral:lncRNA from 1 species
CCCCUUAUGUUCCAAGUUACAACAAUCAUUGAGAAUUAGGUUCUACCCUGUAAGAUGGACCAGGGUCUACAUUAUAGCUAUUGCUUCCAUUCUCAUUCAUGACAGCCUUACCAUUAUUAGCAAGAACUGUCUGAUGUUCACCUUUCUCAACUUCAGCAACAGUGAGAACAGUUUCUGAAUUGACUAAAACAUUUUCAAGCCGCAUGGUGUUCUGUGAUCCAUCAGUCUCCCCAUGAUAUUGCAAUUGGCCCUCUACUACAGGAAUCACAACACUAGACUUCUCAACAACAGCCUCUACUGCAGGAUUCACUGAAUUGGUCUGCUCAACAACAGCCCCUACUGCAGGUAUCACUGAAUUGGUCUACUCAGCAAUAGACUGCUUAGCAAUCCAUUC